UGAAUUCGGAGUUGCCCGAGGUCAAGGG
rnacentral:sRNA from 1 species